rnacentral:rRNA from 1 species
UACAGAGGUCCCAGCGUGUUCGGUAUUCACUGGGCGUAAAGGUGCGCAGGUGGUCGGGUAAGUCUGAUGUGAAAUCCCGCAGCUUAACUGCGGAAUGGCAUUGGAUACUAUUCGGCUAGAGGGUUGGAGGGGGGACUGGAAUUCUCGGUGUAGCAGUGAAAUGCGUAGAUAUCGAGAGGAACACCAGUGGCGAAGGCGAGUCCCUGGACAACUCCUGACGCUGAGGCACGAAAGCUAGGGGAGCAAACAGG